rnacentral:rRNA from 1 species
CGAGUCUUAACUGGGCGAAUAAGUUGCAGGGUAUAGACCCGAAACCCGGUGAUCUAGCCAUGGGCAGGUUGAAGGUUGGGUAACACUAACUGGAGGACCGAACCGACUAAUGUUGAAAAAUUAGCGGAUGACUUGUGGCUGGGGGUGAAAGGCCAAUCAAACCGGGAGAUAGCUGGUUCUCCCCGAAAGCUAUUUAGGUAGCGCCUCGUGAACUCAUCUUCGGGGGUAGAGCACUGUUUCGACUAGGGGGUCAUCCCGACUUACCAACUCGAUGCAAACUACGAAUACCGAAGAAUGUUAUCACGGGAGACACACGGCGGGUGCUAACGUUCGUCGUGAAGAGGGAAACAACCCAGACCGCCAGCUAAGGUCCCAAAGUCAUAGUUAAGUGGGAAACGAAGUGGGAAGGCUCAGACAGCCAGGAUGUUGGCUUAGAAGCAGCCAUCAUUUAAAGAAAGCGUAAUAGCUCACUGGUCGAGUCGGCCUGCGCGGAAGAUGUAACGGGGCUAAACUAU